rnacentral:rRNA from 1 species
UGCGGACAUAUCAUAACGAAGAGGUAUCGUAAUUGAAGAGGUUUGGAAAGACCCACCACAGAAGGUAAUAGUCCUGUAUGUUAAACGAGAAGACUUCAGAUAUGAUCCAGAGUACCACGGGACACGUGAAACCCUGUGGGAAGCAGGAGGGACCACCCUCCAAGGCUAAAUACUACCUAGUGACCGAUAGCGUAUAGUACCGUGAGGGAAAGGUGAAAAGAACCCCGGGAGGGGAGUGAAAUAGAACCUGAAACCCUGCACUUACAAGCUGUGGAAGCACAUUUCUUGUGUGACCGCGUACUUUUUGUAGAACGGGCCAACGAGUUACGUUAAGUAGCAAGGUUAAGCACUUAAGGUGCGGAGCCGUAGCGAAAGCGAGUUUUAACUGAGCGUUCAGUUACUUGACGUAGACCCGAAACCGGGCGACCUACCCAUGAGCAGGAUGAAGCGAAAGUAAAAUUUCGUGGAGGUCCGAACCCACGAGCGUUGAAAAGCUCGGGGAUGACUUGUGGGUAGCGGUGAAAUUCCAAUCGAGCCCGGAGAUAGCUGGUUCUCCCCGAAAUAGCUUUAGGGCUAGCCUCAAGGUGAGAGAUACGGAGGUAGAGCACUGAAUGUCCUAGGGGGUAUUGCACCUACCGAAGACUAUCAAACUCCGAAUGCCGUCAUCUUAUACUUGGGAGUCAGACUGUGGGUGAUAAGAUUCAUAGUCGAAAGGGCAACAGCCCAGAUCGUCAGCUAAGGUCCCUAAAUGUAAGUUAAGUGGUAAAGGAUGUGGGAUUGCACAGACAACCAGGAUGUUGGCUUAGAAGCAGCCACUCAUUCAAAGAGUGCGUAAUAGCUCACUGGUCGAGUGAUCCUGCGCCGAAGAUUUCCGGGGCUAAAACUUACUACCGAAGCUACGGCAUCAGUAAUGAUGGGUAGGGGAGCUUCCCAUACGGGUUGAAGCAUGACCGUAAGGACAUGUGGACAGUAUGGGAGUGAGAAUGUUGGCAUGAGUAGCGAGAUGUGGGUGAGAAUCCCACAGGCCGUAAACCCAAGGUUUCCAGGGGAAGGUUCGUCCGCCCUGGGUUAGUCGGGACCUAAGCUGAGGCCGAAAGGCGUAGGUGAUGGACAACAGGUUGAUAUUCCUGUACUACCGAUAACCGUUUGAGAGAAGGGAUGACACAGUAGGAUAAGCUAAGCACACUGUUGGUUAUGUGUGCCCAAGCAUUGAGGCAGUCAAAGUAGGCAAAUCCGCUUUGAUAAUGCUGGGAUGUGAUGGGGAGCGAAAUUUAGUAGCGAAGUAGCUGAUUUCACACUGUCAAGAAAAGUCUCUAUCGAGGUUAAAGGUACCCGUACCGCAAACCGACACAGGUGGGUGAGGAGAGUAUCCUAAGGCCAGCGAGAGAACUGUUGUUAAGGAACUCGGCAAAAUGACCCCGUAACUUAGGGAUAAGGGGUGCCACCAUCAGGUGGCCGCAGAGAAUAGGCCCAAGCGACUGUUUACCAAAAACAUAGGUUUCUGCUAAGUCGCAAGACGAUGUAUAGGAGCUGACGCCUGCCCGGUGCUGGAAGGUUAAGGGGAUCUGUUAGAGCAAUCGAAGCAGUGAACUUAAGCCCCAGUAAACGGCGGCCGUAACUAUAACGGUCCUAAGGUAGCGAAAUUCCUUGUCGGGUAAGUUCCGACCCGCACGAAAGGCGUAACGAUUUGGGCACUGUCUCAACAACAGACUCGGUGAAAUUGUAAUUCCGGUGAAGAUGCCGGAUACCUGCGACAGGACGGAAAGACCCCAUGGAGCUUUACUGUAGCUUGACAUUGGGUCUUGGUACUACAUGUACAGGAUAGGUGGGAGGCUUUGAAACCAGGACGCCAGUUUUGGCGGAGCCAUCCUUGGGAUACCACCCUUGUAGUACUGGGACUCUAACCAUAGGCCAUGAAUCUGGUCUUGGGACACUGUCAGGUGGGCAGUUUGACUGGGGCGGUCGCCUCCCAAAAGGUAACGGAGGCGCUCAAAGGUUCUCUCAGUACGGUCGGAAAUCGUACGUAGAGUGUAAAGGCAAAAGAGAGCUUGAUUGCAAGACAUACAGGUCGAGCAAGGAUGAAAAUCGGACUUAGUGAUCCGGUG